UUACGGCCAUAUCACGUGGAAACACCGGUUCCCGUACGAUCACCGAAGUUAAACAACGCCGAGCCUGGCCAUGUACCUUGAUGGAUGACCGCUUGAGAAUGCCAGGAGCUGUAAG